GAACGCUGGCGGCAUGCCUAAUACAUGCAAGUCGAACGAACCAUCCUGAUGAUUGAAGCUUGCUUCAUGAUUCAGAUCUUGGUGAGUGGCGGACGGGUGAGUAACACGUGGGUAACCUGCCCAGAAGUGGGGGAUAACAUUUGGAAACAAGUGCUAAUACCGCAUAACAACUUAGAUCACAUGAUCUUUGUUUAAAAGAUGGUUUUGCUAUCUCUUCUGGAUGGACCCGCGGCGUAUUAGCUAGUUGGUGAGGUAAUAGCUCACCAAGGCGAUGAUACGUAGCCGACCUGAGAGGGUAAUCGGCCACAUUGGGACUGAGACACGGCCCAAACUCCUACGGGAGGCAGCAGUAGGGAAUCUUCCACAAUGGACGAAAGUCUGAUGGAGCAAUGCCGCGUGAGUGAAGAAGGUUUUCGGAUCGUAAAACUCUGUUGUUGAAGAAGAAUAUAUGUGAGAGUAACUGUUCACGUACUGACGGUAUUCAACCAGAAAGCCACGGCUAACUACGUGCCAGCAGCCGCGGUAAUACGUAGGUGGCAAGCGUUGUCCGGAUUUAUUGGGCGUAAAGAGAAUGUAGGCGGUUUAUUAAGUUUGAAGUGAAAGCCCUCGGCUCAACCGAGGAAGUGCUUCGAAAACUGGUAAACUUGAGUGCAGAAGAGGAAAGUGGAACUCCAUGUGUAGCGGUGGAAUGCGUAGAUAUAUGGAAGAACACCAGUGGCGAAGGCGGCUUUCUGGUCUGUAACUGACGCUGAGAUUCGAAAGCAUGGGUAGCAAACAGGAUUAGAUACCCUGGUAGUCCAUGCCGUAAACGAUGAGUGCUAAGUGUUGGAGGGUUUCCGCCCUUCAGUGCUGCAGCUAACGCAUUAAGCACUCCGCCUGGGGAGUACGAUCGCAAGAUUGAAACUCAAAGGAAUUGACGGGGGCCCGCACAAGCGGUGGAGCAUGUGGUUUAAUUCGAAGCAACGCGAAGAACCUUACCAGGUCUUGACAUACCAUGAAAAGCUUAGAGAUAAGUCUUUCCCUUCGGGGACAUGGAUACAGGUGGUGCAUGGUUGUCGUCAGCUCGUGUCGUGAGAUGUUGGGUUAAGUCCCGCAACGAGCGCAACCCUUAUUAUCAGUUGCCAGCAUUCAGUUGGGCACUCUGGUGAGACUGCCGGUGAUAAACCGGAGGAAGGUGGGGACGACGUCAAAUCAUCAUGCCCCUUAUGACCUGGGCUACACACGUGCUACAAUGGUCGGUACAACGUGCUGCGAACUCGCGAGGGCAAGCAAAUCACUUAAAACCGAUCUCAGUUCGGAUUGUAGGCUGCAACUCGCCUACAUGAAGCUGGAAUCGCUAGUAAUCGCGGAUCAGCAUGCCGCGGUGAAUACGUUCCCGGGCCUUGUACACACCGCCCGUCACACCAUGAGAGUUUGUAACACCCAAAGUCGGUGGGGUAACCCUUCGGGGAACUAGCCGCCUAAGGUGGGACAAAUGAUUAGGGUG
rnacentral:rRNA from 2 species